GGGCUCGUAGCUCAGCCUGGUAGAGCGCCCGCCUUGCACGCGGGAGGCCUCGGGUUCAAAAGCAACGGGUCCG
rnacentral:tRNA from 1 species